GACGUUUCGAGAGCCAUCUUCGUCCUCGUCCUCAGGGUACUAAACGUCCUGACAUGGCUGGUAGCCCGAGAAGAAUACAUUACAAGAUAGGAAGUAUUAGCAACAACACAGAACGAGAAUUAAGUGACUAGGGUCAUCAUAUGCCCUGAAGAAAUACAGCUCCUGUGAAAUUAUGUAAACGCUUAUGCACUCACGACUAAAUGUUUGCCUGUUUAAUCGCUGGAGGACUUUGUACAUCCUGCUUUCGUCUAACAUCUCCCACUGAUCACAUGGACAGGCCUACACAGAGUAAUGACCCACGUUCCAGCCACGAUGUGUUUGUUCCACGCAAUGGGAAAUCAGUGCAAGGCAAAUACACACCGCUACAUUGACGAGAUUUGUCUCCCACAAUUUCAAUGCAAGAUACAGGAGAACGCGCGAUUCUGGCUUAAGUGACUAUGACUAACCUAUAAACUGAUUAUUAAAUAAUUAUACAUAUUAUAU